AAGUCGUAACAAGGUUUCCGUAGGUGAACCUGCGGAAGGAUCAUUAAUGAAUGCAAUCAGAGUCGGUUGUCGCUGGCCUCUUCAUCGAGGCAUGUGCACGCCUUCCCUGUUCAUCCACACACACCUGUGCACUUGUGAGACGGAUUGACCCUCUCGGGGGACGGUCCGUCUAUCAUACAUAAACUCCAGUAAAUGAAAUUUGAAUGUCAUUUGAUGUAACGCAUCUUUAAACUAAGUUUCAACAACGGAUCUCUUGGCUCUC
rnacentral:misc_RNA from 1 species